UACAGAGGUCUCAAGCGUUGUUCGGAUUCAUUGGGCGUAAAGGGUGCGUAGGCGGCGCGGUAAGUCGGGUGUGAAAUUUCGGAGCUUAACUCCGAAACUGCAUUCGAUACUGCCGUGCUUGAGGACUGGAGAGGAGACUGGAAUUUACGGUGUAGCGGUGAAAUGCGUAGAUGUCGUAAGGAAGACCAGUGGCGAAGGCGGGUCUCUGGACAGUUCCUGACGCUGAGGCACGAAGGCCAGGGGAGCAAACGGG
rnacentral:rRNA from 1 species